rnacentral:tRNA from 1 species
GGGGAUUUAGCUCAGUGGUAGAGCGCUUGCCUAGCAAGCGCAAGGCCCUGGGUUCUAUCCCCAGCUCCG